rnacentral:tRNA from 1 species
GUUAUAAUAGUUUAAAUAUAAAACAUUGGUCUUGUAAACCAAAAUUAGAUAAUAAUCUUUAUAAUU